rnacentral:rRNA from 1 species
UACGUAGGGGGCAAGCGUUGUCCGGAUUUAUUGGGCGUAAAGAGCGUGUAGGCGGCCAGACAGGUCCGUUGUGAAAACUCGAGGCUCAACCUCGAGACGUCGGUUGAAACCGUUUGGCUAGAGUCCGGAAGAGGAGAGUGGAAUUCCCGGUGUAGCGGUGAAAUGCGCAGAUAUCGGGAAGAACACCCGUGGCGAAGGCGGCUCUCUGGGACGGUACUGACGCUGAGACGCGAAAGCGUGGGGAGCGAACAGG